AUGGCCUGGGGGCUGCUCCCUGUUGGUGGUUGGUGGUCCUGGCUACCUGCCGCGGCCUAGGCUUGAUUUUUGAUUUGGACCUUCCCAGGGGCCUCUUCCUGCUGUCUGGAGCCUUGCAUUGGAAGAAUUACUUUGCCUACCACCUCACUUGCUUUCAAACAAUUAUUUAUUUGGAGGAAAAAAAAGUCUUUUCUCAAAGGGCCCAGUCUACAUUUUCCAACUUCUGCCAAAGCUGGAGUCUGAGCCAUUACUUUGAAACCAAGCUGUGAAUGGCUCAUUCCUCACUAAUUCCCAAAUGGGAAUCUCAAUGUUUGUUUACUUUCUUAAAAAAUUCACAUUUAGCCUGAGGCUCAGCUGAAGGAAUUUUAAACAUUCUUUAAGAGCCGUAAAGAUGAGUUGGGAAUGAAAUGACCACUCAACUUUAACUAGAGCGAUCAUUUUUUUUAAAAGCAUGUCAUUAAGUACGCGGAGCUCGGUUGUGACUGAGGAAUGAUCUCCAGUCGCAGGGAGAAUGUUAAUUUCAUUGGACAUGUCUCUUGAAAUGAAUUUGUGGUUAAGGAACCAUUUUUGAGCCAGGAAAAGCCCUAUGAGAAUGAACGGCAUUAGGAUUCUGUGCACCCAGUCUUUACUGAAUGUUUAAUGUGGUCAGGGAAUUGUGCUAAGUGCUGGGCCCUGGCUCACCCUGUAAAACCAGCUACUGCUGUGUGGGGACAGCCGGCCGGAGAGCCAGGGCUCAGCGGAUCCAGUUGCAAUGUAUUUUCUAAGAAUACUGUAUGCAGCCAGCACUAAAAUGACAGAGUUCUCAUGCACCAUUGUGAGGAAAAGCUUCCAGGAAAUUGUUACUAUUUCAACCUGGAGCCUGGAAGGAGAGAUGCACAGAGAAGCUGUGAACCCAACUUGUACAUCUUGAGCCAACCCCAGCUAUAUCUCGCCAAGGUCAGUCAACCUACAAACCCAUGAGAAAGAAACAAAUGCUUGACAUUGUAAGCCACUGACAUUUUGUAAUUAUUUCUUUGCAGCACGAACACAGAAGAAGUUGAUUAAUGCAAUUAGUGCGUAUACCAAGAUAUUGCUGGC
rnacentral:lncRNA from 10 species